UUGUGACUCUGAAUAGGAAUAGGAACAACAAGCGGAUAGCUUCGCCGCCUUCGCGUAAGUCGAAACGAAAUUUCGCGUUGUGAAAACAGCAGUGUGUCAGCAACUGUAUGAAAAAUGUCUUUUUAUUUGAAUGGAUCUACGUUUUAUCGACUGGAAUGAACACUGACUUGCGGGACAUGGUACUGAGCUCUCACCUGGAAUAUUAGAAAUGCAAUUAUCCAGUUUCCCAAAAAGCAGGAAUAUAAUGAACUUCAGGAUAAGGUAGCAGUCACUAUCAACUGAAACAAAGUGGAAGUCAAAGAUGCAAAGUCCAGCAAGUUAGAAUACUAGUGAUGGUAGAAGAAUUACUGAAGCAGAUUGUUCUUAAAAA